rnacentral:lncRNA from 1 species
AUGGCAUGGCAGGUGUGGCUGGACAGACUGGCAGGAGCUGCACCAUGAAGGGACUUUCAUGCCAUGUUGGAGAAUCUGGAUUUUAUGGAUGAGGAAGUUGAGACCCAGGGAGGCAUGUGGUUUGCUCAUUAUGGCACAAAGAGCAAAGAGAUGAAAAUGGCACCCUUCAGAGGCUGAAGCCCAUCUCAGCGUUUCCUUCCACUGUGUGCCUUCAGCCUUCUCAGAUGACCUUGGAGUUUACCUAGACAGGAGUGUCCUCCCUGUAUCCCCACAUGUGGCUGAGCCUCCAGCCUGUCUAUUUGGACUCCUCCUCCUUGAAGCAGAUGCUUCCAUUGCUGGACAGCCCCAGGGGUUGCAGUUUUUCUUGGAGUUAAAAUCUGUUUCCUAUAACUUCUACCUGCUAGUCCUGGUUCUGCCUCCUGGGGCCACACAGAAUGUCUGUUUUUGUUUCUUCUUUCAAUAUUUGAAGAUGGAUAUCAUAUUGCCCCUAAAUCUAC